UACGUAGGGGGGCAAGCGUUUGUCCGGAAUCAUUGGGCGUAAAGCGCGUGUAGGCGGCCCGGUAAGUCCGCUGUGAAAGUCGGGGGGCUCAACCCUCGAAUGCCGGUGGAUACUGUCGGGCUAGAGUGCGGGAGAGGCGAGUGGAAUUCCUGGUGUAGCGGUGAAAUGCGCAGAUAUCAGGAGGAACACCAAUUGCGAAGGCAGCUCGCUGGAACGUAACUGACG
rnacentral:rRNA from 1 species